AGCUCAUCAGUGGGGCCACGAGCUGAGUGCGUCCUGUCACUCCACUCCCAUGUCCCUUGGGAAGGUCUGAGACUAGGGCCAGAAGCGGCCCUAACAGGGCUCUCCCUGAGCUUCGGGGAGGUGAGUUCCCAGAGAACGGGGCUCCGCGCGAGGUCAGACUGGGCAGGAGAUGCCGUGGACCCCGCCCUUCGGGGAGGGGCCCGGCGGAUGCCUCCUUUGCCGGAGCUUGGAACAGACUCACGGCCAGCGAAGUGAGUUCAAUGGCUGAGGUGAGGUACCCCGUAGGGGACCUCAUAACCCAAUUCA
rnacentral:RNase_P_RNA from 8 species